rnacentral:rRNA from 1 species
AUUGAACGCUGGCGGAAUGCUUUACACAUGCAAGUCGAACGGUAGAGGGGCAACCCUUGAGAGUGGCGAACGGGUGAGUAAUGUAUCGGAACGUGCCCAGUCGUGGGGGAUAACGUAGCGAAAGUUACGCUAAUACCGCAUACGAUCUAAGGAUGAAAGCGGGGGAUCGCAAGACCUCGCGCGAUUGUAGCGACCGAUAUCAGAGUAGGUAGUUGGUGAGGUAAAGGAUCACCAAGCCGACGAUCUGGAGCGGGUCUGAGAGGAGGACCAGCCACACUGGGACUGAGACACGGCCCAGACUCCUACGGGAGGCAGCAGUGGGGAAUUUUGGACAAUGGACGCAAGUCUGAUCCAGCCAUUCCGUGUGCAGGAUGAAGGCCUUCGGGUUGUAAACUGCUUUUGUACGGAACGAAAAGGCUCUGGUUAAUACCUGGGGCUCAUGACGGUACCGUAAGAAUAAGCACCGGCUAACUACGUGCCAGCCGCCGCGGUAACAC